AUGCUUAUCUGUCAGAGAGGACACUAUUAUCAGGAAAGUUUCCCCAGUGCCAGCCUCCUCCAUUGUACUUGGGAUGUGCUGACCCUAGCAAUUUCCCCAAGUGUGGGGAAACUCAACUAAAUAGUAUGUGGUGGUAGUAGGAAACUCACUCCAGA
rnacentral:snRNA from 1 species